UCCAAAUCUGUCGACCUCCCCUCCCCCUCUCUCUUUCAUUCUCGAAACCUUCUCCCAAAAUUGAAGAAGAGUUGAAACGGGAAAACCCUAGCCUCCUCCCUCGGUGGCUCCCACCGCUGCCCCGUCAUUCGUCGUCGCUCCGGCGCCUUCGAAACGGAGAAAAGGCAUCGCUUCUCAGGGACCCGCCGUUGCUUGACCCAAGGCUACUGCCUGGCGUAGAUUGCGACGGAUAUUCCAACAGCAGCUUCGCCGCCGUGCUCCCGGCUCACUCUGUUUCCCCCGUUCUCGAACCCUCUUUACUUUCUGUCGGCCCUCCCAAUUUGGUGACAUUAAGUCACGAAACCAAGCUUUAAAUUUGAGGUGAGGAAGGAACAGCGUCGUUGACGUCUCCUAUCCGGCAUGCGCACGGAAACUGGUGGAACAGCAGGGUUCUACGUCGCCUCGCGAGACUUCAGCCGUCGCCUUCGAUUCGCGCUGCUGGGUCGAGACGGUACGGCGUCGCCGCCGAUUUUGCUCCGUCAUGGGAAUGCUGUGACUACACCGUCAGCUCCGCGCUCGCUCUCUCCGUCGGGACCUCUCUCCCCAACGGAUCUCGUCAGCGUGCCUAGUCGCUGUUCAACCACGGCAACGUCUCCUCUUCCCAUUCGACGACCAGCGCUGUCGUUAUCUAAAGCUUGGGAGCGACCGUCGCUGCGCCGCGGUGAUCUUCGGGGCUCCGUCGCCUCGCGGACGCCCCUUCUAAGCUAAGUUUUCCUCCUAUACUUAGCUCACUUGGUGGUUCUCGAAAUGGCAGUAGCUACGUGAUAACAGAGCUUUUAUGUUUGACUUUUAAUGUGAGAGUUACUGCUGUUAUCUGCAUAUCGUUCUUGUUGUUCAAGUUCCUUUUGUUCUCAGUUCAGGAAGCCUUGAUUCAUGUGUGAAACUUAAUUGUUGAACAAAUGUUUUGUUGUUCUAAGUUCUUGAUCCUAAGUUUCACUCAUUGAUCUGUUAUGGUGUGGGGUUCUAAAGCAUGCUCCUAUGUUCUUGAGCUUUUAUGCUCCUAAGUUCUCAUGUUCUAGCUAUUUACUUGUUCUAUAUGAUGAAGUUUUUGGUGUUGAGGGGAUUACCUCUUGUGGGUGAAGUGUAAGGGAGUGGCUCUGAGGUUCUGACCUUGCUUUCACCGAGCUUCCUACUAACACUUGACUCCUUCACCCUCUUGCUUGCUAUUUAACUGAGUGAGGAAUGUGGUGGAAAUGAUGGAGUGUAACCGAAAGGGUAGCAUAUGUACAUAGUUGUAACUAAAAGCUGUAAAAGCUUGCUAUUUGACUGGAAAAAGGGGCUUUAAGGCUGUGUAGGCUGGCUGGCCUUCCUGCAGCUUUGCAGGCUGUGUACCCGUGGAUUCAUAGGGGUUUUAUAACUUCUUUUGUUGCCAUAUUGCAGGCCCUCUCAGUCCUUAACUGCUGUUAUGUACUCACUGCAGUGUGUGUGACCUUUUGCAGAUAUGAGCUGGAGUAAAGGUGGUUAGAAAUGGGGUGCAGAUGCUGCGAUUCUCGUUCUGAUUUGCUGCACUCGGUGCCCAGGUAAUUGCAGCAUGCCAUCUUACCCCUUUAAGCAAGUUAUGGUCUCCAACCUUUAAAGUAUGAGGGCUGAUCUUGUUUGAUGUUGGCAGCGUAUAAGGCUAACUGCCGAGGCUGUUUCCUCGAUGACUCGCCCUUCCGGCUUUCUGGGAUCUGGGGCCGAGACGGCCUAUUGAUGAAAAAAAAUCGACAUAGCUGCUAGGGCUUCAACCUUGUAAUAUUGUAGUUCGACUUAACUUACUUCCCAUCAUGUACGAAGAGUUCGAUAUUAGUUGGUGUGUAUUUAAUCUCAAGCAUUUGUAAUUUAUUAGCUUUGAAAUUCUGAAAUUUGUAUUCAUACUCUUAUUCAAGAAAUAAAAAUACUCCUUCAUUCUUUA